rnacentral:rRNA from 1 species
UACGGGGGGAGCAAGCGUUGUUCGGAUUUACUGGGCGUAAAGGGCGCGUAGGCGGCGUGACAAGUCACUUGUGAAAUCUCCGGGCUUAACCCGGAGCGGCCAAGUGAUACUGUCGUGCUAGAGUGCGGAAGGGGCUACUGGAAUUCUCGGUGUAGCGGUGAAAUGCGUAGAUAUCGAGAGGAACACCGGUGGCGAAGGCGGAUCUCUGGGCCUUACCUGACGCUGAGGCGCGAAAGCUAGGGGAGCGAACAGG